AUGGAGCUUUUAGAGAGAUAACUAAGUUAAAAUGAGAUGAUUAGGGUGGGCCCCGAUGCAGUCUGACUGAUGUCAUAAAAAGAGGAAAUUUGGAUACAGAUCUAUAUACAGAAGGAAGACCCUGGAAGGUACAGGGAGAAAACUGCCUUCUGCAAGCAAAGAGGAGACAGAGACCUCUGAAGGAACCAGUCCUGCUGGCAACAUGAUGCUGGACCUGCAGCCUAUUGAACUGAGAAAAUAAAUUUGUAUUUCUUCUGAUUUGAUUUCUGGUGCGGUCUCUACCUGGCCUAUGGACAGCUGCUAUGCCUGUACAUGGCCUUUCCUUGGUGACUGUCUAAGGGGGAAGAGAGAGCAAGGUUUCUGAUGUCUCUUCUCCUAAGGACCCUAAUCCAAUUAGGUGGGGCCCAACCCUUAAGACCUCAUUUAGCUUUAGUUGCUUCUUUGGAGGCCCUGUAUCCAAACCCAGCCCCGUGAGUUAGGGGUUCAAUGGAUGAAUUUUAGGGGUACAAACAGACCUUUAGUCCAUAAUAUCUCCAGCUAAAUGCAACAAUGUGAAUGAACUUCAAAAAUGUAAGUGACAUAAACCAGACCAGAAGAAUACAUACUGGUUGAUUCCAUUUACUUAACAAAAAUAGGUAAAACUAAUCCAUGUCACUUGAAGACAAGUUAAUACUUUGGGUUGGGAGACAGUGAUUGGAAUGAAGCACAAAGUAACAGGAAUGUAGGGGGCUGGUAAUGUUGGGUUUAUUGGUCUGGAUGCUGGUUACAUGGGUGUAUUCAGUUUGUGAAAUUUUAAUUUGUUUAUAUUGUAGAUUACACCUUAUUAAUAAUUUUUUAAUGCCCCAAGAUUAUGCUCACUGAGGGAAAAUGAAGGAAACAAAAACAACUAUACACACAAGCACUCGCAAAUAAUGCAUGUACACAUAUAUGUGUGUGUGAUCAUAGAAAAAUGUGCAUAUAUAACAAUAUGUAUUAAGAGUUCCCUUUGUGGCUCAGCAGGUUCAAAACCCAACUAGUAUCCAUGAGGAUGUGCUUUCGAUCUCUGGCCUCACUUAGUGGGUUAAGGAUCCAGCAUUGCCACAAGUUGCAGGGUAGAUCACAGAUAUGGCUUGAAUCUGGCCUGGCUGUGGCUAUGGCAUAGGCUGGCAGCUCCAGCUCUGAUUCAACCCCUAGUCUGGGAACUUCCAUAUGCCACAGGUGUGGCCCUAAAAAAGGAAAAAACAAAAAUGUGUUCAAGUGUCUAGAUACAUGGGUAUAAACAUAUAUAGAUAUAAGAUAAAAGUAUAAAUGUAGGUACAUGAUUUCAAAAAGCUACCUUGGCAUGUAUAUAAUCCAUCUGAAGAACAGUUUCUAUGGUUAACAAUGUUGAAAAAGCCUACGCCAUUGAUCAAUCCUCUUUUGUGAAUUGAAGACAAUGAGGCUCAGAAAUUGGCACCUGAGCCACAUAACUGAACUGGGACCAAGGCUCCUAAACCCUAAGUAAGAUAUCUUCCUACUGAGAGAUAAAGGCUUAGAGCUGCAAAAGGUCUUAAAAGUGAUUAUUCCCAUGCCCAUAAUAACCUCCUGACUAAGGCGUUUUUCAGUCUCUGCUACAACAAUCUCUGCAGAGGAAGCACCUGAGCAGUCAUUCCAUGCGAACUCUGUCCAACAUUCUCCUUUGCUGAGCUGAAAUCUCUACUGCGACUUCCACCACUUCUAAGAGUGGUAUAGAGUAAAAUUUGCAGCUUGGCGGGUAUGCAUUCUCGUGUGUGUGUUUGUGUGUGUAUGUGUGUGUGUACACUUUCUGUAACCAUGUAACCUUGGGCACAUCAGUUAAUAUCUCUCAGUCUGUUUCAUUUUAAAAUGUGAUUAUUAGUAAUAUCCAGAUAGAAGGUAGAGAAUUCAAGGAGAUAGAAAAUAUGUAUUAUACAUGCUUUGGAACAUACUCAGGUAUGGAUUAAUAUUAAUGCCCUUUGCCUUCUCUCUCCCCUGACUUCUCCUACACUAUAUUUUUGUUUUAAAAAAAUCACUAAAUGACAGCCUCAAAAUAUGUGAACUAUGCUAUGNNNNNNNNNNNNNNNNNNNNNNNNNNACAUGAGUCAGCUGGGAGUUACCUUAUCAGUGAAGAUCCCCUCCUGUGGACACUGAGCAGAGCUCAGGGUAGACACCCAUUCAGGACAUGGCUUUCCUCUCCUUUUUUCUAUGGAGUCAAGAAAAAGAUUUGAUCUCCCUGGCUCUGUAAGACACUAGCAAGGACGAGUUUUCUAGGAGAAAGGGGCCCAGACACAGGACACAAGCCAAUGCUAAUUCUGCUGAUUCUGAUCCACAUUCUCUUCUCAGAAGUUACCAACUUAGGAGUUCCCGUCGUGGCGCAGUGGUUAACGAAUCUGACUAGAAACCAUGAGGUUGCAGGUUCCAUCCCUGGCCUUGAUCAGCGGAUUAAGGAUCCAGCACUGCCGUGAGCUGUGGUGGAUCGCAGACACAGCUCUAAUCCCACAUUGCUGUGGCUCUGGCGUAGGCUGGCGGCUACAGCUCUGAUUAGACACUUAGCCUGGGAACCUCCAUAUGCUGUGGGAGCUGCCCAAGAAAAGACAAUCAAUCAAUCAAUCAAUAAAGUGAAGGUAUUUAAGAUGCUUGUAGCUGCACAGCCAAAAAUCUUAGCAUGUGAUGCCAAAGGGGGCUGGAAAGACUCAAAGGUAGAGUUCAAUGCCUUAGUGAAUUAAGCAUGGUCCAGCAACAGGUCAAGCCUCAGUCUUCCAGGUUUAGACACCUGAGGUAGAGGAACAUAAAACAAUUGUCUGGAACUCUGUAGUCAUAUCCUGGAAGUUCUGGCAAGUGAAUGAUAAGAGAAUACAGAGACACUAAUAUGGUUUCUGGUAUCAGAGGACAUUGUCCUGCCAAGCGCCAUUGCUAAAAUGCUCCUGCUGGCCUAGCAGGUUUCUGAACUGCCUGGUUUCUCCUGGGCAGACUUGGAAGCACUGGCUGGAAGGGUUCAGAUCUCCUGCGUUGUUCAUAUGUAUGCUUCCUAGUACUUAGUCAAAGGCAGAGGAACAAAAUCGUGAGGGUGGGGGAUCAACAACAAGGAGAUGACAAGACCAAGACCAGGAGACAGAUAGGUGGUGCAACACAAAAACUCUUAGAUUUAGAGAAAGAGACUGAACAGUUUUGCAGUCAAAUGCUGGAGGGUCUGCUAAAUGAUUCAGCAGCAUCCCUCUUACCCUUACCCCAAACCAAACCAUUCACCACAUCCCGUACAGACAGGGUAAGAGCGGACACGGCACUAGACCCUGAGCAAGGUGGGACGAGAAAGAACCCGUUCACUCCAGGAGGUUAAGGUGAGACCAUUAGACCCUGUGGGAACAAAGCGCUUUGGGGAAAGGAAAUGGCCGGGUGGUCAAGAUCUUGGGGAGAUAAAAAUUCUCAGGUGGGCAGUGGAGGGGCGGAGGGUCUUAAGUGGGAUCCAAGGUCACAUCAAAGGCAACAUCACAACCCAGAACACGACUCCCUUCUAACACACUCCCGCCCAGAAGUGUAGUCCACACCAAUUGAUAUUUCAGAUUCUACAUUUUUGUCUGCCCUCAGUUUGCUGUUCUCACUCAAGCCCACUUCUGCUCCCCUUUCCUCUGUAAUCUUCUCCCUACUCAUCAACACAGAUAUCUAACCACUUAAGAGUUUUACCAUGAGUUCCCAUUGAGGCACAGCAGAAACGAACAUGAUUAGUAUCCACGAGGAAGUGGGUUUGAUCCCUGGCCUCCCUCAGUAGGUUAAGAAUCCAGCGUUGCAAUGAGCCGUGGUAUGGAUUGAAGACAUGUGUGGAUCCUGCGCUGCUGUGGCUGAGAUGUAGGCUGGCAGCUGUGGCUCCGAUUCAACCCCUAGCCUGGGAACUUCCAUAUGCCACGGGUAUGGACCUAAAAAGAAAAAACCUUCCUCUCUGGUGGCUGGGUAAUGAUAAGAGUAGGCAACAAGACACAAUUAAAGGGUAUUCUCGUAUUUACCAAAAUUCUCAAAAUCCUAUAGAUGUCCAACUAUCCCAUAGACAUUUUCAUCUUCACGCCCCUGCCCUCUCAUGCCAUCACUACUGCCACAGACACAAAAUGCCAAGUACCCCUGCCCCACUCUAUCACAUGGCCUAGGUGCUCCUUCCCUGACAGCUCCCUCCCUCAAAACUCAUCUUGAUGUCACGUAAGCACCCCAGAAAUUCUGACUAUCAUCCUAGCCUCUCAAUAGCCCUGCAGAGAUAACUCCUAACUGACUAGGAAUCUCUCCUCAACGACGUGGCUGAGUCUCAUGGUCAACCAGCUGGGGCCAACUUCUGACCCCUUUGCCUAUAGGUUCCAAUUUUAGGCAUAACUUAGAGAAUGAUCAGGCUCCGGGAAAUUGACUUGUAGCAAGACUCAAGUGCCACUCACUCAUGAGUGGGGGAAGGUGAGAGUGUGGCAAUGUCCUGUCAUGGUGCCAGAGUCACUGCCUAUAACAAAUGGCCCUGCCAACUGCCACUGAAAGGCUAUGGCCCAAGGGAUUACGAUUGCCCAUUAUGAGCCAGGCAUGACAUAAUCGUGCACAAUGGGGAGAAACAUCAGGGUAGAAAGGAUAAAAUCAAAGAGAAUGUGUGAAUUGAAUGAAUUUUGCAACCCACCACAAUAUGGUAGCCUUUCAUUUCUAAGAGAACCAGAGUCACACAUUACAGAUAGAGACAGAAAUUGUUAUUAUUUGGCACCCCCUUAACUAUUCCCCCUCAUAUAGAGGGAACAAAAUAGGGGGGUGGGGGGAAGCAAUAUACGAAAUGAUCAAAUUUGUCAAGCUGUGGAUAAGUUUAGAGAUUUGCAUCAGAUCUUUCCACUGUUGUAAGCUAAGUGAGGUGGGACAAGUUCCUUACCUUCUCAGGUCUCAGUUUUCUCAUGUGAAAUGGAAGAAAUAUCAGUAGCUACCUCGGAGGGUGGAAUGAGGAUCUAUGGUCCGUGAUCAACAAAUAUCAACCAGCAUUAUAAUGUUGGAGAUUGUUUUCUCAUUGGUUCCACAAACUGAUUAAUCAUUUCUCCUUUUCCAGAAAAAAAAUUUAUUGUUUUUUUAUUUUUACUUACACACAGAUUCUUAAAAUUACAAGUCACAGAUGGUUUUCACUCUCUUAGUGUGGCUCCCUUCAGUCACAUCGAGAAGAAAUUUAGUCUCCCCACUGAGGCUUUUUCCAUGUGGGAAUGCUGUAUAAUGCUCUUUUCCACAUGUGUGCCAGCUCAGUCAGCUUUCAUGUGCCUUAAAUUUGUAUUAUUGCUUCUGGACAUGAGAGGCCUUUCCUACACAACCUUGGCCAUUUGACUAGCCACUGGCAUUUAAAGAAAAUAUUUCUGGUAAUCCCCAUCCUUCUCCCUCUUCCGCCUAAUCAGCACAUCAUGGCAGCAUGGCUAUGGUUAGGACCUCAGCCCCACUCUUUAUUGACCAGUCCACCUGGGUGGGGGGCAGAAAUGAGGGUGGCAGGAAAGAUCAGGACCUGAGACCCUGAAGUUUAAUGUCCUCCUCUAAUAUCUCCUUCCUGCAUGAGGAGGUGGUCCUUUCCAAAGAUAAUAAAGCAAGUAGCUAGUGAAAUUGUGGGACCUCUAGCAAUUCAGGGGAAAGUCAGCCUGGGCAAGGAUGGGCACAAAACCCUGAAAUUUUCUCUAGCAUAAAGACGGCAAAAUCACACACACACACACACACACACACACACACACACACACGUAGAACAAAUAAAAGUUGCACAGAGCUGUGCUGUGGGGACUCUGUCACUCCUUGUCUUGUCAAGGAACUGACCUGUUACUUCAGUCCUCAGACAACACCUAAAGCCAUGAACAAUAUUCUGAAAUAUUUCUCUGGUUUCUGUACUUACAGACAUUAAGCCAGCCUUCCCAGGCACAACUUGAUGGACAUAAGAUAACAGAGUCUUCAGUGACCACACAAAGAAGGAAUAUAGUCCUUGCAAAAACAGUUUGGAAAAGUCACUAGACAAAUGGAUAACUGCACCACUCCACAAACAAUACAAGCAAUCCCUAGGGGAUGAGGACAUUGUAACUCCCAUAGCACAGCACUGUAUUCAGAAUAUCCAGUUUUCGAUGAAAAUAUGCAAAUGCAAAGAAAUAAAACUGUAUGGA
ensembl:lncRNA